rnacentral:rRNA from 1 species
CCUACGAGAGGCUGCAGUGGGGAAUAUUGGGCAAUGGGCGCAAGCCUGACCCAGCAACGCCGCGUGAAGGAAGAAGGCUUUCGGGUUGUAAACUUCUUUUCUCAGGGACGAAGCAAGUGACGGUACCUGAGGAAUAAGCCACGGCUAACUACGUGCCAGCAGCCGCGGUAAUACGUAGGUGGCAAGCGUUAUCCGGAUUUACUGGGUGUAAAGGGCGUGUAGGCGGGAAAGCAAGUCAGAUGUGAAAACCAUGGGCUCAACCUGUGGCCUGCAUUUGAAACUGUUUUUCUUGAGUACUGGAGAGGCAGACGGAAUUACUAGGGUAGCGGUGAAAUGCGUAGAGAUUAGGAGGAACACCAGUGGCGAAGGCGGUCUGCUGGACAGCAACUGACGCUGAGGCGCGAAAGCGUGGGGAGCAAACAGGAUUAGAUACCCCAGUAGUC